AUCUAGAAGAGAGAUCCACGUAGACAAGUAGACCGUACUACCAAAGCUUGUUGGCUUUUUCUUUCUUUUUUACUUUUUUAAGAUUUAUUUAUUAUUAUAUGUAAGUACACUGUAACUGUCUUCAGACACCAGAAGAAGGCUUCUUCAACAACAGAAAAAAAAAAUGUUGCCAUUUGAAAACAUUCUAUUUGGCAUCUUUUAGUAGCAGUUUUUAACUAUAUCCCAAUUAUUUCCCUCAAAUAAGAUAUACACGGGGAAUUAUGAUUUAAUAUGAAGCCACAGCCCAAAAAUUUUAGGAGGGGUGCCAGAGACUGAACUAUUGUUUACCGUGAUAAUUAAGUGGCAUACCAUUGAAUGAUGUACUCAGCAAUGUAUGUGUAUAUAUGUGUUGAGAGUAGCUAGGCUAACAGGCCUGGAUUGCUCAACUUGGCUUAAAGCAUACAUAUUUUAAAGUUGAUCACUUCCUUAUAUCAAAGUUUUGUUUGUUUUGAUUUUUUAAGGAGUCUGCCCCAUGGUAUAAGGAUUUACAGAACUAAGUCUGAUUACCCUAACCACCAUGUAAAACGUUAGAAGGCAUUACCACACCUGGUUUAUCUUAGAGCCUCCCAUGGUUCAUGAUAUUUAUUAUGAUAAGAGACCCUCAAUAAAUAUCCAUCAGUACAUAGGUAAAUUGUUGUUUUUACGAGCUCUAUCUGUGGUAGAAGGUUAUGAUAAUCCUUGAUAAGCUAUAGCAACUCCUUGGUUCAAAGAAUAUAUAUAUAUAUAUAUAUAUAUAUAUAUAUAUAUAUAGUUUUAUAUCCUAAUGGCCAAGUCUCUGAGUCCUGAAGAUGCUGGAGAAAUGACAACCAAGAAACCACACUGUCUUGAGUGACUACAUAGAAAUAAUGCUGCCCUCAAGAGAGGCAUUCAAGCUCCAGAGGGCAAAUGCCCUCUGUAAAGAAGACACUGUCUUCUGACAAUGUGAAAAGGAAAACAGCCUAAAGGAAUUCACAUAAGGACAGCCUAGCCUUAAACAGACGCCCAUCCUUGAUCUUCCCGUUCACAGAACAGUUGCUAAGUCCCUUGUGAGAUGUAGCUCUGGGCCUGCAAGGAAAGCAGGGAUGCUACAAGGUGAUGCUAAAGCUCUCAAGCAGAAAACUACUCAGUUGCACAGCCCAUCUGUACAAAGGAGCUGAUUUAGCUGUGUCUGUAGAUCUCCCAGAGCUAACUGCAGGUACACAAAUCAUUCUAAACUCUCCUCAUUUUGAAAAUACCCAGAGUAAGUUGGUAGUGAUGACGAAAUUUUAAAGUAGAAGACUAUUGAAUUUGCAGAGUUCUCAAAUGGUACAUCUCAAAGUCAUUGAACUUCUGAUAGUAGGACCACCUCGCUGCUUGAGGGUUUUAGCAAAGAUACUUUGAUAAUAACCAACCAGAAGCGUCUCUGAAAAUAUUUUCUAAUUUAAGCAGUCAUUGAUUCAUAGGGUUGGUGGUACCCUUUGGAUGGUCAACAUAUUUGCCAUUACUUCACAGACCGAUUUGAGCAGCCAUUGAAAGAACAAGCAUUGGCCAGUCUUGAUGAGAUCUUGAAUCUUUGUUAUCUUAGAACCAUCAGGAACAGCUUAGAAUUAUGACUAAGGUGAAAAGAGUCCUGCUCUGUCUUAUUUCUGCAGUGACUAAGCCUGUCUGGGUUACUUGUACAUUGAUCUUUUAUUAUUAUUAUUAUUAUUAUUUCAAUUAUUCUUAAAAAUAAUGUGCAUGAAAUAAUUUUAAAUUAAAUAACCUCUGAAAAUCAGUCGACCUCUACAAAAUCUACACACACAAUAUUAGGAAAAUAAAAUCAAUGAUUAUCUCAUUUGUCUCUUUUUAUCAAUCUGGUAUUGCACAGUAUGCUCAGCAAAUAAAUUAAUAUACCUGUUAAUAUUGGGAAUAAAAUGCCAAUAAAGAAGUUGUCCUGGACAACUGAGGCUGGAUGAGUAUCAUGAUUCAGUAGAUUUGGACCCAUCCUGUUAUAUGCCCGUUUUGGAUGGCUUUCCAUAUGUUAAUUCUUUCAGUCAGUUUUAGAAAACAAGGUCAAAGUCCCUUCUCUCCCUCUUUUCUUUAAAGAUUUAUUUUAUUUAUUUUUAUGUAUAUGAAUACACUAUAGCUGUCCAGAAGAUUGUGAGCCUUCAUGUGGUUGUGGGGGAAUUGGGACCUUUGCUCGCUCUGGUCAUCCUUGCCUCCUCAGGCCCAAAGAUUUAUUUAUUAUUAUUCAUAAGUACACUGUAGUUGUCUUCAGACACACCAGAAGAGGGCCUCAGAUCUCAUUACGGGUAGUUGUGAGCCACCAUGUGGUUACUGGGAUUUGAACUCAGGACCUUCAGAAGAGCAGUUGGCGCUCUUAACCGCUGAGCCAUCUCUCCAGCCCUGAAGUCCCUUCUCUUAAAGGUAAAUUAUCUGACCUUUUGUUUUGGGUCAUCUGCCAGAGUCCCUCAUCUAUAGGGAAGACCCGUGCUCCUCUUGCUAUUGGGUCUCAGAUCUGCCAGAGACUUCAUCUAUGGGAAAGACCCGACCAGUGUUCCUCCUGCAGCACAACUUUAUUUGGUGAAGGUACAAAGGAAGCUCGAGGAAGGAAGCAUUUAGAGAGAUUUAGUUGAUCUAGGUUUUCUUGGUUGAAAGAGCCAUCUCAAACCCCCGUCUGUUUAAGAUUCCUCUCCUCAGAAUGUUCUGUUCCAGAGAACCAAAUAUAGAAAUAGGAGAAAUUGCUUAGCUCCAUUACAAAGAAUUUGUCUCUCUUUCUUUUCCCUCACAAACCACUGGAUGAAAGGAGCUCCCGUUUCUCCCUGCAGGGAUGCCGGCACACCACUUCCCCACACAGUUGAAGCCUAUCAGCUCUGAGCAGCAGUGACUCCUCCAACUCCUUCAGCCUGUGGUUCAGAGGGAGACAAUGAGGGCCUGUGCAAAGGAACGGAAGUUGCACUUGUAAAUCAUCACCAGCAGUGGGGUCUGCUUUAUAGAAUCUGCCUAAUGGGGACUCUGUUUUACUGGGAAUUACAUAAUCGAGCAAUCAGAAAGUAGUAUUAAAAAAAAAAAAAAAAAGAUUUGCGAGCUAUAGCUUAGGAAGACCGUACCUCAAAGCAGAAAACGGUUUUGUGUUUAUUGGUUUCAGGUCUGUUAGUAAUACUUGUAGGAAAAUAUAUUUAAAGCCUGCUAUGUACCAAAAGAUUACUGUUAUUUAUUCAACAUUUGUAAUAAGGUCAUAUGACUGCUAAAUAUAUUUUUAAAGUUCCUUUCUGUUAAGAGAUUUCUAUCCUUAAAAAUCUUAACUGUUUUAUACAAACAAUCUUGUGGGAUAAAAAAAAAAGGAGUAACCC
ensembl:antisense Gm37696 predicted gene, 37696